CAAUAGCGUAUAUUAACGUUGUUGCAGUUAAAAAGCUCGUAGUUGGAUUUCUGGAGGGAGCGUCGGCCCGUAUUUACGAGUGCGUGACGUCUCUGUCCAUCCUUGCGGGGAGGCACGGCAUUGAUUUGUUGUGUCGGAUCGCAUCAUUUACUGUGAAAAAAUUAGAGUGUUCAAAGCAGGCUUUCGCUUGAAUACAUUAGCAUGGAAUAAUAAGAUAGGACUUUGGUGCUAUUUUGUUGGUUGAGCCUAAAGUAAUGAUUAAUAGGGAUAGUUGGGGGCACCUGUAUUGCGUUGUCAGAGGUGAAAUUCUUGGAUUUACGCAAGACAAACAGCUGCGAAAGCGUCUGCCAAGGAUGUUUUCAUUAA
rnacentral:rRNA from 1 species